GAAGGGUGACACACUCCCUAAAGGGAAGAAGGAUGACACACUCACCACAGUGGAGGAGGAUGUACCCACAUCCAGCCACUUCCUGGCCUAUUUCUUGACAGCAUGUGUCAUCUGUAUUGCCGGAUAUGUGCUCUUCCACAAUAAGCAAAAGAUCGUAGCUUUCAUUGUUGAGGGUCGCAGUCGGGCUGAUGGACGGCGGUCUCGUGGAGGGGACUAUAAGCUGUUACAGUCAAAUGUGGAAGAGGCCAUGUCAAGUCUGGACAAGUCUGUAACUACCAAGAACUACAUCUACUGAUAUCCUCCUGGGAAGUGCUCCAAGGUAUUGGUGCUUGGUCGAGAAGAAACCUGUCCCAUAACUAAGACGUCGGGAAAACAAGUUAAACAUGACAGAACUUAAAAAAACAAAACCGUUACCUAUACAUUCCGAAGUGAGACAUGGACUCCUGCAAGAAGAGUUUUCUGCUUUACAUAUGGGUUUAUCUGUAUAGUGGUAUAAUGAAAGUGUUUUGUUGUGGUAGUUUUUAAAUAACCACAUUCAAGUGAAAUUAGUUCAGUACUGUAACAAAAUCAGGUAGCAGUGUCUUGUUCCCUUUGUUUUAAGAUCAUCAUUUAAUAUAGAUGUUCUUGUGAAACAAGAUUGUCUCUUUUUAUUGUCAACAUUUUACCAGAUUUGCUGCCUGUUUUACUAAUAAGUGUUUUAACUACUGUUGGUUGGUGAAAAGAGUGUUUGGAAGCAUUGUUUUUUCUUUCAUUCUACAUCUUUCAUUGUUUUGAUAUUGCCCAUAUAUAGUGCAGAACAACUGUUGCACCACUAGGGUUCCUGGCUGCUGUUUCAGCCAAUGUCAGUGUAUGGUUGUUAUAGAAUUACCAUAGUAAACAGAUGUUACAUCUGACCAAUAUGUGAAGGACCGACUUGGAAAGUACAAGUUUGUAUAGUUUAGAUUUUAGGGUGAUCUCUCAUCUUUACUGAUGUGUGUUCCUUUUUUUAGCGUGUAUAGUUACAUACAUGUUAAUAAAGGAGGUCAUUGAUAUGUAAGCAUACAAAGCUGUCACAUAAAUAUGUGUAUGUGAAUAAAGGAGUCGAUAUGUAAGCCUACAAAGCUUUCUCAUAAAUAUGUGCAUGUGAAUCAAGGAGGCCAUUGAUAUGUCACGUAACUAUGUGUAUGUGAAUCAAGGCAGCCAUUGAUAUGUAAGCCUACAAAGCUUUCACAUAAAUAUGUGUAUGUGAAUCAAGGCGGCCAUUGAUAUGUAAGCCUACAAAGCUUUCACAUAAAUAUAUGUAAAUAAAUCAUGAAGACAGUAUACCCUGGCCACUGUACAUGAUUAGAAGAAUUUUUUUUAGCUGUCCUGUGCAUAGU